GAUGAACGCUGGCGGCGUGCCUAAUACAUGCAAGUCGAGCGAACACACGAGGAGCUUGCUCCUUCGACGUUAGCGGCGGACGGGUGAGUAACACGUAGGUCACCUACCUAUAAUACUGGGAUAACUUCGGGAAACCGGAGCUACUACUGGCUCAUAUUUCGAACCGCAUGGUUCGAUAGUUAAAGAUGCCUUUGCUAUCACUUUUAGAUGAACCUGCGCCGUAUUAGCUAGUUGGUAAGGUAACGGCUUACCAAGGCGACGAUACGUAGCUGACCUGAGAGGGUGAUCGGCCACACUGGGACUGAGACACGGUCCAGACUCCUACGGGAGGCAGCAGUAGGGAAUAUUGCGCAAUGGGCGAAAGCCUGACGGAGCAAUGCCGUGUGAGUGAUGAAGGUCUUCGGAUCGUAAAACUCUGUUAUUAGGGAAGAACAAACGUGUAAGUAACUGUGCACGUCUUGACGGUACCUAAACAGAAAGCAACGGCUAACUACGUG
rnacentral:rRNA from 1 species